AGCGAACGCUGGCGGCAUGCCUAACACAUGCAAGUCGAACGAGAACUUCGGGUCUUUGUGCGCAGCGGGGCGUAACGCGUGGGAACCUGCCCUUAGGUUCGGUAUAACUCACCGAAAGGGGUGCUAAUACCGGUUAAUGUCUUCCCACCAAAGAUCUAUGGCGUUUGGCUGGGCGCGCGUUGGAUUAGCUAGUUGGUAGGGUAAAAGCCUGCCAAGGCGACGAUCCAUGGCUGGUGGGAGACCAGGACAAGCCACACUGGGACUGCGACACGGCCCAGUCUCGGAGGGAGAGGAGCAGUAGAGAGUAUAGGAGGAUGGGCGAAGGCCUAGUCAAGCAAUGCGGGGGAAGUGAUGAAGGCGUUAGGAUUGUAAAGCUGUUUGACCCGGGAUGAUAGUGACAGUACCGGGAGAAGAAGCUCCGGCUAACUACGUG
rnacentral:rRNA from 1 species